rnacentral:rRNA from 1 species
GUCUUUUUGAUGAUAAUUUAAAGUCAAGCCUGCCCAGUGAUUAAUUUAACGGCCGCGGUAUUUUGACCGUGCUAAGGUAGCAUAAUCAUUAGUUUUUUAAUUGAAAGCUUGUAUGAAUGGUUAGAUGAGAAAGAUUCUGUCUCUAAAUUAUUUUAAUUGAAUUUUAUUUUUAAGUAAAAAAGCUUAAAUUAAUUUAAAAGACGAGAAGACCCUAUAGAGUUUUAUAUAAUUAUUAAAUUUUAAGGUUUGGGAAUUUUAAUUAAUAUUUUAAAUUGUAUUUGGUUGGGGAGAUAAUAAAAUUUAAUAAACUUUUAUUUAAUAAAUACAUAAAUUUAUGAUUAUUUGAUCCAUUAUUUUUGAUUAAAAGAAAAAAUUACCUUAGGGAUAACAGCGUAAUUUUUUUUAAGAGUUCUAAUCGAUAAAAAAGAUUGCGACCUCGAUGUUGGAUUAAAAUUUAUUUUUGGUGAAGAAGCUAAAAUUUUAGGUCUGUUCGACCUUUAAAGUUUUACAUGA